rnacentral:rRNA from 1 species
GACGAACGCUGGCGGCGUGCUUAACACAUGCAAGUCGAGCGGUAAGGCCCUUUCGGGGGUACACGAGCGGCGAACGGGUGAGUAACACGUGGGUGACCUGCCCUCAGCUCUGGGAUAAGCCUGGGAAACCGGGUCUAAUACCGGAUAUGACUCCAUGACGCAUGUUGUGGGGUGGAAAGCCUUGUGCGGCUGAGGAUGGGCCCGCGGCCUAUCAGC